rnacentral:rRNA from 1 species
CAACCUGCCCUUCACCACGGAAUAAUCCAGUGAAAAUUGGUCUAAUACCGUAUGAGGUCAUACGAUGGCAUCAGAAUAUGACGAAAGGUUUUGCGGUGAAGGAUGGGGAUGCGUCUGAUUAGCUUGUUGGUGAGGUAACGGCUCACCAAGGCGACGAUCAGUAGGGGUUCUGAGAGGAAGGUCCCCCACAUUGGAACUGAGACACGGUCCAAACUCCUACGGGAGGCAGCAGUGAGGAAUAUUGGUCAAUGGGCGAGAGCCUGAACCAGCCAAGUAGCGUGCAGGACGACGGCCCUAUGGGUUGUAAACUGCUUUUAUAUGGGGAUAAAGUGAGUUACGUGUAGCUUAUUGCAGGUACCAUAUGAAUAAGGACCGGCUAAUUCCGUGCCAGCAGCCGCGGUAAUACGGAAGGUCCAGGCGUUAUCCGGAUUUAUUGGGUUUAAAGGGAGCGUAGGCCGCCCCUUAAGCGUGUUGUGAAAUGCCGCGGCUCAACCGUGGCACUGCAGCGCGAACUGGGGGGCUUGAGUGCACGCAACGCAGGCGGAAUUCGUGGUGUAGCGGUGAAAUGCUUAGAUAUCACGAAGAACUCCGAUUG